rnacentral:rRNA from 1 species
UACGUAGGGUGCAAGCGUUGUCCGGAAUUAUUGGGCGUAAAGAGCUCGUAGGCGGUUUGUCGCGUCGGCUGUGAAAACUCGGGACUCAACCCCGAGCCUGCAGUCGAUACGGGCAGACUAGAGUUCGGCAGGGGAGACUGGAAUUCCUGGUGUAGCGGUGAAAUGCGCAGAUAUCAGGAGGAACACCGGUGGCGAAGGCGGGUCUCUGGGCAGUAACUGACGCUGAAGAACGAAAGCGUGGGUAGCGAACAGG